UUAUUGCCAAUUUUCGCGCCAAUUUCUACCGACGACGAAUUGUUCUAGAAAUUAUUGGCGGCCAUUGCAGAUUGGAAGUCAGUGCAGAGCAGUCGAAAAGUAAGUCGUCCUGUAAUCGUCGCUCGGUAUGUUCAACCCUUGCUGUUCUUCCAAAAUGUGCCUAGUUGUUUUAGAAACGAAAAUUUCUCCCUAUCAAUCUGCAGUGUCGUCGUUUCCGUUUGCUGAUGUACGCGACUUAUCAGGAAAUUGGUGAUGCCAGCAUAGGAUUCAAUCAAUCACAGGUCUCGACGCCAUAUUUGACAAGAACGUAGCCAGAGGUCUCUCCGCCCAGUAACCCACGAUUUCCAACCACCUACUUUUCAAAUAGUAAAACCAAAUUCUGUAAUUGCGUUUGAUUUUUGCCCAAAUUUGUGGUGCCAUUGGAAUAUCAUUAUUGAUGAUAUUUACAUGGAAAGUGCCAUAUUGAAAACGCAAUUUGCACUGUUGGAAAUGCAAUUCCUGCUAUCACGUCGACCGUUAACAGGUUGAAAGAAUCUCUCCACCAAUCGAAACACCCGCCGUAGUGUUACUGUCCUUUUUCUAAGUUUUCAUUCUACAAGAACGGGGAAUCUGCGUCUUCGGAGAUUUCCUUCUUGGACGUCGUUAGCUAAUAUACUAGGAUCAGUUACCUGAGAUCUACACGCUAUGCAAGGAAGCAUUUAUCCCAGUUGUUUAGCAGCUGCAAAUUUACGCCGUUUACCUGUAACUUUGACAGGUAACGCCCGAAA